AUGGUUGAACUAGUUUACAAUCCCACCAACAGUGUAAAAGUGUUCCUAUUUCUCCACAUCCUUGUGCAUUGGUCACGUAGUUCUUGUGUCGUGGUUUUCAUCUCUAUCAGUUCAUUUAUGGACUUCUCUGCAUUGGUUAUUCUAGUUAUCCAUUCUUCCAUUCUUUUUUCAAGGUUUUUAUUUUCUUUGCGCUGGUUACAUAGUUCCUCCUUUAGCUCUGAGAAGUUUGAUCGACUGAAGCCUUCUUCUCUCUACUUGUCAAAGUCAUUCUCCGUCCAGCUUUGUUCCGUUGCUGGUGAUAAGCUGCGUUCCUUUGGAGGGGGAGAUGCACUCUGGUUGUUUCAAUUUCCAGCUUUUCUGUUGUGGUGAUGAGCUGUGUUCCUUUGGAGGGGGAGAUGUGCUCUGAUUGGAUUUCCAGCUUUUCUGUACUGCUUUUUCCCCAUCUUUGUGGUUUUAUCUACCUUUGGUCUUUGAUGAUGGUGACGUACUGAUGGGGUUUUGGUGUGGGUGUCCUUUCUGUUUGUUAGUUUUCCUUCUAACAGUCAGGACCCUCAGCUGCAAGUCUGUUGGAGUUUGCUUGAGGUCCACUCCAGACCCUGUUUUCCUGGGUAUCAGCAGCGGAGGCUGCAGAAGAUAGAAUAUUGCUGAACAGCAAGUGUUGCUGUCUGAUUCUUGCUCUGGAAGCUUCAUCUCAGGGGUGUACCCAGCGGUGUGAGGUGUGAGGUGUUCGUCUGCACCUAGUGGGGGAUGUCUCCUAGUUAGGCUACUCAGGGGUCAGGGACCCACUUGAGCAGGCAGUCUGUCCAUUCUCAGAUCUCAACCUCUGUGCUGGGAGAUCCACUUCUCUCUUCAAAGCUGUCAAAGAGGGACAUUUACCUCUGCCGAGGUUUCUGCUGCUUUUUGUUUAGCUAUGCCCUGUCCCCAGAGCUGGAGUCUACAGAGGCAGGCAGGCCUCCUUGAGCUGCUGUGGGCUCCACCCAAUUCGAGCUUCCUGGGCUUUGUUUACCUACUUAAGCCUCAGCAAUGGCGGGGGCCCCUCCCCCAGCCUGGCUGCUGCCUUGCAGUUAGAUCUUAGACUGCUGUGCUAGCAAUGAGGGAGGCUCCAUGGGCAUGGGACCCUCUGGGCCAGGUGUGGGAUAUAAUCUCCUGGUGUGCCGUUUGCUAAGACCCUUUGUAAAGCGCAGUAUUAGGGUGGGAGUUACCUGAUUUUCCAAGUGUUGUGUGUCUCAAUUUCCUUUGGCUAGGAAAAGGAAUUCCUUCCCCCUUGCGCUUCCCAGGUGAAGUGAUGCCCCGCCUUGCUUCAGCUCUUGCUGGUUGGGCUGCACCCACAGACCAGCACCAACUGUCCGACAUGCCCCAGUGAGAUGAACCUGGUACCUCAGUUGAAAAUGCAGAAAUCACUCAUCUUCUGUGUCACUCAUGCUGGGAACUGGAGGCUGGAGCUGUUCCUAUUAGGCCAUCUUGGGCGCGCCUCCAAAAAUCAUUUUUUUCUAAGAGUUAGACUGUUCUUAGCUAUCUGUUUCACAAUAUUGAAUGCCAGAAUGCUACAGAGCAAAAGUAAUUAAAACUCAAAUGUACAAGAAUAGUGAUCAGUUAAUAAAUUAUAUCAACUAAAUAACAACACUUUAUAACUUUUAAAGCAAUAACACUAGUAUACUAA
ensembl:lncRNA